GACGAACGCUGGCGGCGUGCUUAACACAUGCAAGUCGAACGGAAAGGCCCUGCUUUGGUGGGGUGCUCGAGGGGCGAACGGGUGAGUAACACGUGAGUAACCUGCCUUUGACUUUGGGAUAACUUCAGGAAACUGGGGCUAAUACCGGAUAGGAGCUCCUGCUGCAUGGUGGGGGUUGGAAAGUUUCGGCGGUUGGGGAUGGACUCGCGGCUUAUCAGCUUGUUGGUGGGGUAGUGGCUUACCAAGGCUUUGACGGGUAGCCGGCCUGAGAGGGUGACCGGCCACAUUGGGCCUGAGAUACGGCCCAGACUCCUACGGGAGGCAGCAGUGGGGAAUAUUGCACAAUGGGCGGAAGCCUGAUGCAGCAACGCCGCGUGCGGGAUGACGGCCUUCGGGUUGUAAACCGCUUUCGCCUGUGACGAAGCGUGAGUGACGGUAAUGGGUAAAGAAGCACCGGCUAACUACGUG
rnacentral:rRNA from 1 species